GUAUAUCCAUGGGUUUUUGGUCGGUGAGGAUGACUCUUUAUUUUCCGAGACCGUUUACACUUUGCAUUUGCUUCUGUCAUGCUGUGGUUGGAAGACUAUUUAAUUUGGGUAUUACAAUACUGCGAUGAUGCUACGCUAAGACACUACAUCUAUCAAAGCAAAAUCAAACAUGUCUUGAAGACCGUUAAGAGCCAUUAGGCCAAAAUGUAACACCCCAAUCACAUAACACGCGGCGGAAAUAUCGGGGAGUCACGUUACAAAUUGCUCACAACAACUGGGUGAUGGUAUUAAGGCGAUG
rnacentral:lncRNA from 1 species